rnacentral:rRNA from 1 species
CGGCCUUCAUACUCUCGCGCUGGAGCACAGUAGAGGCGGGUGGAAUUCCGGGUGUAGCGGUGGAAUGCGUAGAGAUCCGGAAGAACACCGGUGGCGAAGGCGGCCCGCUGGGCUGUGGCUGACGCUGAGGCGCGACAGCGUGGGGAGCAAACAGGAUUAGAUACCCUGGUAGUCCACGCCGUAAACGAUGGGCACUAGGUGCCUGGGGGAGCGACCCCCUGGGUGCCGGCGCUAACGCAUUAAGUGCCCCGCCUGGGGAGUACGGCCGCAAGGCUGAAACUCAAAGGAAUUGACGGGGGCCCGCACAAGCGGUGGAGCAUGUGGUUUAAUUCGACGCAACGCGAAGAACCUUACCUGGGGCUUGACAUCUAGGGGAAAGGCUCGAGAAACCGAGUCCCCUCUUNGGAGUNCCU